rnacentral:rRNA from 1 species
AGUGAACGCUGGCGGUAGGCCUAACACAUGCAAGUCGAACGGCAGCACAGUAAGAGCUUGCUCUUACGGGUGGCGAGUGGCGGACGGGUGAGGAAUACAUCGCAAUCUACUUUUUCGUGGGGGAUAACGUAGGGAAACUUACGCUAAUACCGCAUACGACCUACGGGUGAAAGCAGGGGAUCUUCGGACCUUGCGCGAUUGAAUGAGCCGAUGUCGGAUUAGCUAGUUGGCGGGGUAAAGGCCCACCAAGGCGACGAUCCGUAGCUGGUCUGAGAGGAUGAUCAGCCGCACUGGAACUGAGACACGGUCCAGACUCCUACGGGAGGCAGCAGUGGGGAAUAUUGGACAAUGGGCGCAAGCCUGAUCCAGCCAUACCGCGUGGGUGAAGAAGGCCUUCGGGUUGUAAAGCCCUUUUGUUGGGAAAGAAAAGCAGCAGGUUAAUACCCCGCUGUUCUGACGGUACCCAAAGAAUAAGCACCGGCUAACUUCGUG